CUGUCCGCAUGUCUGAGGUUGAAUGUGAUGUGUGAUCUGUUGAGAACAAGACUGCUUCAGUUCAACCAGUAAAUUUGAGAAAGACAUGCUCAGAGAAUGAAUAGAGACGAUACGUUUCAGUUUACAUGCAUAUUGUGAGUGUAUUCUCAUCUGCUCUUGUGAUGUCAAAACAUGAACGUUUUGGACAUGCAUCCAAUCAGAACAACAUAUAUACCCGAAUAGCACGAUUUGAUCUAGAAUCAGCGGGUCAG